rnacentral:rRNA from 1 species
UAGGGAAUCUUCGGCAAUGGACGAAAGUCUGACCGAGCAACGCCGCGUGAGUGAAGAAGGUUUUCGGAUCGUAAAACUCUGUUGUUAGAGAAGAACAAGGACGUUAGUAACUGAACGUCCCCUGACGGUAUCUAACCAGAAAGCCACGGCUAACUACGUGCCAGCAGCCGCGGUAAUACGUAGGUGGCAAGCGUUGUCCGGAUUUAUUGGGCGUAAAGCGAGAGCAGGCGGUUUCUUAAGUCUGAUGUGAAAGCCCCCGGCUCAACCGGGGAGGGUCAUUGGAAACUGGGAGACUUGAGUGCAGAAGAGGAGAGUGGAAUUCCAUGUGUAGCGGUGAAAUGCGUAGAUAUAUGGAGGAACACCAGUGGCGAAGGCGGCUCUCUGGUCUGUAACUGACGCUGAGGCUCGAAAGCGUGGGGAGCAAACAGG